GAUGAAGAACGUAGCGAAAUGCGAUAAGUAGUGUGAAUUGCAGAAUUCAGUGAAUCAUCGAAUCUUUGAACGCACAUUGCGCCCCUUGGUAUUCCAUGGGGCAUGCCUGUUCGAGCGUCAUUUGUACCUUCAAGCUCUGCUUGGUGUUGGGUGUUUGUCUCGCCUCUGCGCGUAGACUCGCCUCAAAACAAUUGGCAGCCGGCGUAUUGAUUUCGGAGCGCAGUACAUCUCGCGCCUUGCACUCAUAACGACGACGUCCAAAAGUACAUUUUUACACUCUUGACCUCGGAUCAGGUAGGGAUACCCGCUGAACUUAAGCAUAUCAAUAAGCGGAGA
rnacentral:misc_RNA from 1 species